rnacentral:rRNA from 1 species
UACGAAGGGUGCAAGCGUUACUCGGAAUCACUGGGCGUAAAGCGCACGUAGGCGGAUCUUUAAGUCAGGGGUGAAAUCCUGGAGCUCAACUCCAGAACUGCCUUUGAUACUGGGGAUCUCGAGUCCGGGAGAGGUGAGUGGAACUGCGAGUGUAGAGGUGAAAUUCGUAGAUAUUCGCAAGAACACCAGUGGCGAAGGCGGCUCACUGGCCCGGUACUGACGCUGAGGUGCGAAAGCGUGGGGAGCAAACAGG